UACGGAGGGUGCAAGCGUUAAUCGGAAUUACUGGGCGUAAAGCGUGCGCAGGCGGCGCGUUAAGACAGGUGUGAAAGCCCCGAGCUUAACUUGGGAAUUGCGCUUGUGACUGGCGUGCUGGAGUGUGGCAGAGGGAGGUGGAAUUCCACGUGUAGCAGUGAAAUGCGUAGAGAUGUGGAGGAACACCGAUGGCGAAGGCAGCCUCCUGGGCCAGCACUGACGCUCAUGCACGAAAGCGUGGGGAGCAAACAGG
rnacentral:rRNA from 1 species